rnacentral:rRNA from 1 species
AUUGAACGCUGGCGGCAGGCCUAACACAUGCAAGUCGAGCGGAUGAGAGAAGCUUGCUUCUCGAUUCAGCGGCGGACGGGUGAGUAAUGCCUAGGAAUCUGCCUGGUAGUGGGGGACAACGUUUCGAAAGGAACGCUAAUACCGCAUACGUCCUACGGGAGAAAGCAGGGGACCUUGGGGCCUUGCGCUAUCAGAUGAGCCUAGGUCGGAUUAGCGAGUUGGUGAGGUAAUGGCUCACCAAGGCGACGAUCCGUAACUGGUCUGAGAGGAUGAUCAGUCACACUGGAACUGAGACACGGUCCAGACUCCUACGGGAGGCAGCAGUGGGGAAUAUUGGACAAUGGGCGAAAGCCUGAUCCAGCCAUGCCGCGUGUGUGAAGAAGGUCUUCGGAUUGUAAAGCACUUUAAGUUGGGAGGAAGGGUUGUAGAUUAAUACUCUGCAAUUUUGACGUUACCGACAGAAUAAGCACCGGCUAACUCUGUGCCAGCAGCCGCCGUAAAAC